CACUGUCUAUUUUUUAUUAGAGUAUAGCUGAUUUACAAUAUUGUGGCAAUUUCUUCUCUACAGCAUGGCAACCCAGUCACACACACACACACACACAUUCUUUUUCUCAUACUAUCUUCCAUCAUGUUCUACCCCAAGAGAAUGGACAUAGUUCCCUGUGCUGUGCAGUAGGACCCCACUGCUUAGCCAUUCUAAAUGUAAUAGUUUGCAUUUACCAACCCCCAAAUCCCCAUUCAUCCCACUUCUCUCCAGCCCCUCUACACCCCCAGCAACCACAAGUCUGCUUUUCAUAUCCAUGAUCUGUUUCUGUUUUGUAGGUAUGAUCAUUUCUGCCACAUUUUAGAUUCCACAUGUGAUAUCAUGUAGUAUUUCUCUCUCACUUUCUGAUUACCUUCUCUAUGUAUGAGAACCUCUAGUUGCAUCAUGUUGCUGCAGAUGGCACUAAUUUGUCUUUUUUAUGGCUGAGUAGUAUUCUGUUGAAUAUAUGUAAAGCAUCUUCUUAAUCCAUUCAUUUGUCAAUGGACAUGUAGGUUGUUUCCGUGCCUUGGCUAUUUUGAAUAGUGCUGCCAUGAACAUACAGGAGCAUGUCUCCUUUUUUAAUGAAACUCUUGUCCAGAUGUAUGUCCCAAAGUGGGAUUUCUGAUCAUAUGGUAGUUCUAUAUUUAGAUUUCUGGGCAACCUCCACACUAUUUUCCAGAGGCUUUGUAUUUUUGUAUACAAAAUAACACCAUGUGCAUUCUAGAGCAUAUUACAAAAUAAGACAAACUUUUCUAAAAAAAAAUGAAAAAAAGAGAAAAUAAUCCUAUGACUUAUAGUACCACUUUUAAUAUUUUUGCGCAUAUAUUUCUAGAAUUUUCCCAUGGAAAUAUAUACCUUUUUUUACACACGUGAAACCAUACUCUAUCCAGUGCCAUAACACUUUUACACAUGCUGAAAUACCAUAAAUAUCUGUACCCAUCACUGUAUAUCCUAAAGCAGGAUAUCUACCACUUGGAAUUUGCUAUCAAAAAGAAAAGCUAAGGGUUCUCACGUGAAGAGACAAGAAAGCAAGAGCCUUUAACGCUGUCAGUAUAUGCUGACGUUACAGUUGCCACUAGACGCAAUUAAGUAUGACGGAUAAAGAGAGAACAAGGAGGAAUCUAAUAUUUAUUAUUAACAAGACCUUCUACUAAGUACUUUGCAUUCAUGGGCUCAUUCCAAUCAUCAUCCCUGGAGGCAGGAAGGUUUAUUCUCCAUUUCCCAUGAGAAGAAACUGAGACACUUUGAGGUCAUGUGCCUUGCCCAAGGUUGUGCUACUAUAAAACGGGGAGGGUAGGACCAAACUUGCUGAUUCUAACUCCCAGCCCCUACUAGAAAACGACAGAACCAGGACACAAACUCAAUUAUGCUGAUUCCCAAACUAUCAUGCUAGUACCACUGCCUCCUGAAAUUUCUUUAUAAAGUUCAUAUCUUGCAGGGGACAAGUAUCUAUUGAAUGCUUGCUAUUUCCCAGGUCAUGGGUAAAGAACUGUGCGUGCAAAGCAAAAUAAGCCAGAAAUACUCCAUUCGUGAUAUAGCUGAUGUGACAGAGGGGAAGUUAGGAAAUGGACAAGGAAAUAAAUCAACAACUAAUACCAACAAAUAGGCCCUCCCACCCAAAUACCCCCACAGAAAAUGAGGUCCCAAGUUUGAGCUUUUCUAGAAGGGGUCUCUGCAUCAAAUGCUGUCCCCUGGAACCACUAACCAGGUAGUUUAGACUUCAGGGCUUUCAUCCAGACAAAUCCUUAGCUCUUUCAUUUAGGGCAUGGUAUUGGCAAACGAUAUGCACUCCCUAUGGAGCUCAUACCGUGGAACAGUUUUCUUUCCAAAUCAAUGGUCAUGAGACUUUGGGAUCAAAAAACAGGAAAACACCAAAGCUCAUAUUGUCAAAGUAUAUUGCACACUGCCUAAAAUGAUGAAUUCUGGAGCCAGAGUACCUGGGUUCAAAACUUUCACCAGUUACUAGUUGACAGUGCUUGGCCAAGCUAUUCAAUUGCUCUUGGCCUUGAUUUGUUUCCCUAUGUACAAAAUGGGAACAAAGACAAUAGUAAUACUUAUCUCACAGAUACUGUGAGCACUGAGUGAGCUGCAACAUCUAGAAAACCCCAAACAGGGUCAGGCACAUAAAAGAUGCUUUGUCAGUGCCAUUAUUAUAGCAUCUUAAUAUGAUGCCCCCGGAGCCAGGGCCCUCAACGUGGGAGGCACUGGAGUCAAACACAUCUUGGCAUCAUUUGGGCCAUAUCUCUCACAGUCCAGGAAUGCUAAACAUUCACCUAAAUUUAUUUUUCUCAAUCUUAAAAAUGUGGAUUCCAAUGGUCCUACGUUUGGAGAUGGUUUUCGAGAUAAUAUAAAAAAAGCACUGAGAUAGUAUGAAAAAAGCGUUGUGUUUAGCCUAUGGUGAGAUCCAACAAAAUGGAUCUUACCAUUUUGUAAAAUUAAACUUAUAGUUUAAGUUUGAUUAACUAUGAUUAAACUUAUAGUCACAGAACAUGUUAGAAAUUCUCUUUUCCAUCACCACUCUAAGUUAGUGCUCUUAAGGAGGCAUCAGGGUCUUUGGCCUUAAUUCACUGAAACCUCCUGUGGUCAGGAUAAAAAUCUCAUUUUCUGUGAGGUGAGAUGCUUACUCUAAGUAAGGCUAAAGAAGAUGUGGGACAUAUAUAUGGUGGAAUAUUAUUCAGCCAUAAAAAAUAAUGAAAUAAUGCCAUUUGUAGCAACUAGAAUUUAUCAUAAUAAGUGAAGUCAGACAGAGAAAGACAAAUAUAAUAUCACUUAUUGUGGAAUCCAAAACAUGGCGCAAAUGAACUUGCAAAACAGUAACAGAUUCACAGACUUUGAAAACCUAUCAUUACCAAAAGGAAAGGAGGGGAGGAGGGAUAAAUUAUGAGUUAGAGAUUAACAUAUACACACUAUUAUAUAUAAAAUAGAUAAUCAGUAAGGACUUAUCACACAGCACAGGCAAGUCUACUCAAUAUUGUAUAAUAACCUACAUGGGAAAAAAAUCUGAAAAAGAAUGGAAAUAUGUGUAUGUAUAACUGAAUCACUGUCCUGUACAGGUGAAACUAACAAAACAUUGUCAAUCAAGUAUAUUCCAAUAUGAAAUAAAAUUAGAUUAAAUUGAAAAAUAAACAGUACAAUUUUGAAAAUAGGAGGUAAGGCAUGAGAAUCGCGUUUGUGCGUGGGUAUGAACCUUGCAGUCUAAGAUUGCACCUAUCUGCUUGAGGACUUUCCUCACAUUGUGCUUUAGAUUGUCAUAUCACUUAACAUUUUCCUCUGGAUUAUUAGAGUAGUGGAAUUUUUUUCCUCUUUCAAUUCUCUAGAACAAUUGUGUAAAAGAAAAAAAGAAAUGAGUUCUGCAAUGAGAAUUACUGUGGUUAUUUUCAGGAGUCCUCUUAAAAACAUGUUGCACUAAAGCUCUGGGCCAUUUACCCGCAGAGUCUCAGCCUGGACUGUUGCUUUCCCUGCUGUCCUAUUAUAGUAGGAAUGCAUCUUCUCCUAGAGAGCCAGAGCGUCUCUGUUAACUGAGAAAAGUCUAUCUCUCGUUUCACCUGUUUAGUAAUUUCCACGUUUCGGCACUGAUUCCAAAGUAGGGAUGCAAAUGAAAUGCUAGAAAACUUAUUUUUAUAUGGACGGAUUAGACACACCUACUCCCACCUUAUUUUCUCCUCACUGCAAUCCUUCUACGCACAUUUAACAAGGCUUCCUGUGUGCCUAGUAUGUGUACUGCACUGGCGAUUCAUCAUUGAAAAAGACAAGUGAGUCCUUGCCUUACUGAUUGUACAUUUCACCCAGGGAUAGAGACAAUUUACAAAUACACACACAAGUAAAUGUGAAAAUGCUAUCUUGAAAAAUGAGUAAUGAUAGGGAGUGAACCUAGUUUAAGAUGGAAAGAGAGACGUAUCAGGGAAGACCUCUCAGCAGAGAUAAGACCUGAGCUGUACUAAGAUUUGGAUGCAAGGAAGACAGAGUAAUGACCAGAGGAAAAGGAGCUAGGAGAAAUCAGGAAAUGAAACGCCCUUGAGGUGGACAUUAAUUUGGCAUAUUAAGGCACAAAAAGGAGAACUGCGUGGCUGGGGCAUAGGGAUAGGGAGCAGUAGGAAGGAUAAGAAGCCAGAGAAGUUGGCCAUUAGUCCUCUUGCUCAAGGCUUGGAAGGAACUUUGGCUCAGAGGGUCAAUGUUUUUGUUAACCAUAAAGUAGCUGGAGUGAGAGGGAGGACAAGAAUCAUGCUGGAGGUUCAUGUUUACCCUGUCACUGCUCUUUAAACAACGCAGCACCACUUCAAUGACCGUGUGAGUAUGACUCGGCUGGAGUCCAUGCUCACAUUCCAAUACUAUAAUCCUCAAAGGCAGGAUACAGGAAACUUACACUUAAAUGGGUUCUCCUAAGAUUGGGUUCUUCAGUUGCAAAAUGGAACUAACAAUAACAGACAAUCAUUUGAGCAUGUGAUAUCCACAGCACUAAUGUGCAGCAUGAAAACACACUAAAACCGGACGUACCUGCACUCUCCUAGUCAUUGCAGCAACAUUCACAAUACACAAAAUAUGGCGGAUGCCAAGUGUCCACUGACAGAUGGAUGAAUAAAGAAAGCUUGGUAGGUGUUCCUUGGUGUCCUAGUAGUUAAGGAUCCAGCCUUGUCAUUGUUGUGGUUCAAGCACUAUCCCUGCCCCGAGAACUUCUGCAUGCCGUGGCAACAACGAAGGAAGGAAGGAAGGAAGGAAGAAAGAAGAGAAAAGAAAGAAAAGAAAGAAAGAAAUGGAUAAUAUGGUAUAUACAUACAAUGGAAUAUUUUCCAGCUUUAAAAAAGGAGGAAUUCUUGCCAUAUUCAACAAUAUGGAUGAAGCUGGAGGACACUAUGGUAGGUGAAAUAAGCCAGUCACAGGAGGUCAAACACUGCACGAUUCUACUACACGAGUAAUUUAAUGUAGUCAAACUCAUAGAAGCAGAGAAUACAAGAGUGGCAUGGUUGCCAGAGGGCAGAGGGUGGAAGGUGGGGCAUAUGGGGAAUUGUUGUUCAAUAGGUAUAAAGUUGUGGUUAUGUUAGACGAUUGUGUUCUAGAAAGAUCUGCCAUACAACAUAGUGUCUGCCCAUAGUUAACAUGUAGUGUUGAGCACUCCAAUAUUUAAGGUAGUUCUCAUGUUAAGAGGUCUUAC
rnacentral:lncRNA from 1 species